rnacentral:rRNA from 1 species
GACGAACGCUGGCGGCGUGCUUAACACAUGCAAGUCGAACGGAAAGGCCCUGCUUUUGUGGGGUGCUCGAGUGGCGAACGCGUGAGUAACACGUGUGUAACCUGCCCUUGACUUUGGGAUAACUUCAGGAAACUGGGGCUAAUACCGUAUAGGAUCUCCUGCUGCAUGGUGGGGGUUGGAAAGUUUCGGCGGUUGGGGAUGGACUGGCGGCUUAUCAGCUUGUUGGUGGGGUAGUGGCUUACCCAGGCUUUGAAGGGUCGCCGGCCUGUGAGGGUGACCAGGCACAAGGGGACUGAGAUACGGACCAGAGGGCAACGGGAGGCAGCAGUGGGGAAUAUUGCACAAUGGGAGGAAGCCGGAUGAAGAAACGCCGCGGGCGGGAUGACGGCCUUCGGGUUGUAAACAGCUGUCGCCUGUGACGAAGCGGGAGUGACGGUAAUGGGUAAAGAAGCACCGGCUAACUACGUG